rnacentral:tRNA from 1 species
GCUCCUAUAGUGUUGC